AUUAGAAAUCAGAAUUUCAUCCAUCUGUACAUAUAAUAAUGGGGAACUUUUCUUUUGCAAUUUAACAAACAAUUACUGGGCAAGUUUUGAUCGACUACAUAUAAAAAGAGACCUCAACGACAAUGUAAAAAUGAACCAACAUGUGAACCUUGAGAAACACCAGACAUAAUAUAAAUAGGAUCAGAUAAGCAAUUAGGCUUAGAAAUACGUAGUAACUACAAGGUUAAUUGAAUAGAAAGCACUUUAAAGAUUGGUGCAAAUGGCGUCGACUUGUCUAUGUUAAGAAGCGUGAGUACACAGAUAAGUAGUGAUAAGAGAAUCAAAUAGAGUCCAGGAUUGCUACAAUGAAUGUAAAAUCUCUGAAAUCGGUAUAUCUAUACCAAAAACAAGCGAGGUGCAAUUCUAUUCCGGAAUAGGAGGUGAUACCAACGAAGAGAAAUAAAAGCACUGAAAAUAUUUAUCAAACCAAUUAGAUAUGUCUUAAGGAAUAAGGGUAUAUCCUGUUUAAAGCACAG